ACGUAUGGUGCAAGCGUUAUCCGGAUUUACUGGGUGUAAAGGGAGCGUAGACGGCUGUGUAAGUCUGAAGUGAAAGCUCGGGGCUCAACCCCGGGACUGCUUUGGAAACUAUGCAGCUAGAGUGUCGGAGAGGUAAGUGGAAUUCCCAGUGUAGCGGUGAAAUGCGUAGAUAUUGGGAGGAACACCAGUGGCGAAGGCGGCUUACUGGACGAUGACUGACGUUGAGGCUCGAAAGCGUGGGGAGCAAACAG
rnacentral:rRNA from 1 species